UCCAGUGAGGAAGUCUCCGCUCCCAUCUUGUCUUGUCUAGUAGUAGUGUAGAAAGGAAAAAGGUUCUCUCCGCUCCUAGGAAUUCGCCAAAAUUAGAUCGCGAAUUCUCUCCCUCGCGUACAAAUGGAGCUUCAAUUGGAUAAAUAGGUACUACAUCUUGAUUUGGAGGAUCAUGCCGGCCGGCCGGAAGAGUGUGAGCCGAUGAGGACCUUUCGGGCGGACCAGGGGCUCAAGUUUUGCGGCGAUUAUUGGGGCUAAUGGCCGGCAUUCUGCCGGUCGUGUACCUACAGAAGAUAGAGAGACUGGUGUCUAGCGUUGUUGUGCAUCGGCGAGGACGCUGUCAAGAAUUGGUACUGGCCUCUAUUCCUUUCUUAUUUCCAUUCUGCAAUGAGAGUAUUAUGUUGUGAUAUCAAACGAUGCUCUUUUCCCUUUUCUCUCAUCUUCUUUUGUAGAUUCAAUCUCAGUUUGAGCUUCACAUGGUUCUCCUACGUUCAGUGAGCAUUUUUUUGUUUUGGUUUUGCUCAUGUCAUAUAUAAAGAUGCCAAAAUGUUAAUAUUAGUCAUUCUCUGUCAUAGGUUUGACUGCUUACCUGUAUGACUCCAUUAUUCAGGAUUCUCCCUGUAUUAUUUAGAUGCCAAAAUGUUAAUAUUAUUUAGAUUCGAGGCCAUAAGCUUGAUAUUUAGGAUUCUCCAUGUAUACAGAAAGUUGUUUUUUUUAUCUGCACCAAAAGUUUCACAGUACAUGGAUAGAUCUGCCCUAAAAUUGUCUCAGCCAGAUAUGAAUUUCCUGACUUCUAUCCAUCUAUUUUAGAAAGAAUAGAUUUUUGGUAAUUAGAAAGGGAAAACGUAUGCAAAAUUCAAUUGUUCAAUUAUGAGAACCCUUUUUGUUACUAAUAUUGGGUUAGUGGUUUCAUAUUCCAGUAUAGCUGAUUGCGGCUGUCAUUUUAUUAAUAUUAAACCCGCAACAAAAAAAUUAAGCAACACAUUUCGAAUGAGACAGAAUCGUGGAGGAAAAUAACUACAUAUGAAGUACUCCCUCCGUCCCAUGAUAGAUGUAUUAGAUUUGUCCAAAAUUGAAUGAAUCUAUACACUAUUUGGUGUCUACAUACAUCCAAAUUUAAACAAAUCUAAGAUAUUUAAUGAGACGGGGAGAGUAUCAAAUUUUAUGAAACUAACUCCAUCUGAUUUGUUCUCUCGCUCUCAUUAUGCGAGAAAAAAGAAAAUCUCUGCGAACAAAGUGAAUGGACUGUGGAACACUUAUUUAGCACUCAAAGUAUUUCUAGCAACAAAUUGUGAAACGGAGCUGGAGCAUAUCCUAUUAGCUAUAUCAAGCGUGUACUAACUUGAUACCAAUGAAGAUUUUGUGAUUACAGGAAGGACAAAAGAUAAGUAUUGUAAUUAAACCUGCCAAUAUGAGGAUACAACUCCUUCACUACGGGCCAGUCUUAUAUCACUGAGAGGGCCAAAUUCGAGACUCUAGAGUGCUCACAUCACGAAUAAAACCAUGGGCCAAAUUCCAGACUCCAGAGUGCUCACAUCACCAAUAAAACCAUGGUAUGUUAUCCUCAUGCUUGUACCUUUGGUUGCAGAAUACAAACCUACAAAAUAAGAGAAAAUGUAAUACUUCCGAAGAUAUAUUGCUAGAGACGUCUCUAGACCCAACAGGAAAAGACAAAUCAUACUGAUCUAAAGCACAUAAAUCCCUGUCAGAAUAGUUGCUAACUACUAAUAUACUAUUUUUACCUCCAGAUGCAGAAUGAAUUAACUGUUUGCUACUUUUGUAGAGACUAAAACUAUGUUGCAAGACUCACGGAGACAGAAAUUGAAACUUUGGUUACGGUUUCGAGUGCUAGGGCUCCAAGGAAUAUCUUUGAAAGAGAUUAGUAGUAAGUAGAAGGUCAUCCGAUUUUUGAAUUAACACUUUUGGCUGACAUGCCAUUGCACUUCUUUGCAGAGAUAGUCGCAGAUCACAUGGGGCAAGUUCGCUCGGCCUCUGGGGUCAUGAAGAUCGCAGAUGUGUCGUCGCCGGUACUGGUCUGCCUCAGCUUCAAGUCCAUACGCACUUACAUCUGCAUGUCAUCACAGUCAGCCGGCCGGCCGUUUCAGAACAUCAAGACGAACUCAAGGGUGCGGACGACCGCGUGCGUGAGGACCUGCAAGGAAGACUGCAUCAUUGUUGUUCUUCCCUGAGAACCCAAAGAUCGGGUUGAGAGAUCUCGUCAAGAUCUGUAUGGCGCCGAGGAUUGGGACUGGGAAGCAUGCAUCAUUGACGAUGUUGAAGUCCGGUUCCUGAGACCAAGGCAUAAAUUUGGGAUGUCUCCAUGAAACAUGUCUUAGAUUGGUACCUAGCUCUUGGAGGGCUCUAUGUAUAGUGGAGUUAUGUUAACUCUGUUCCGUCAAUGAGGCAAAUCAAGAUUGAAAUAUUAGCCACCCAUGUGCUGCAAUUGGAGGAGGUUGGCCGGCCGGCCGGCCGGUGGAGCAUGCGAAGGCAUGUACGGCGGCGUACGUGAGGACGUGGUGACAUGAGGGGAGGUCGUGUAUUUUUUUUAGGUUUUGAUUUUGAUCGCUAACUUCUAUUAGCCAGACAGGACACCGAAGGGGUACGAUGAAAACUAAUGUAGGGCAUUGGUGGGUAAUUCUAUUGAAAUCUGAUGUCAAUUAACUAUUAUGGAGAUCAAACGGUAAUGAUUGCCUAAUUAGCUUAAUUAACGGACAGAUGUUUCUGA